rnacentral:rRNA from 1 species
CCUACGGGAGGCUGCAGUGGGGAAUAUUGGGCAAUGGGCGCAAGCCUGACCCAGCAACGCCGCGUGAAGGAAGAAGGCUUUCGGGUUGUAAACUUCUUUUAUCAGGGACGAAGCAAGUGACGGUACCUGCUGAAUAAGCCACGGCUAACUACGUGCCAGCAGCCGCGGUAAUACGUAGGUGGCAAGCGUUAUCCGGAUUUACUGGGUGUAAAGGGUGUGUAGGCGGGAGUGCAAGUCAGAUGUGAAAACUAUGGGCUCAACCCAUAGCCUGCAUUUGAAACUGUACUUCUUGAGUGCUGGAGAGGCAAUCGGAAUUCCGGGUGUAGCGGUGAAAUGCGUAGAUAUACGGAGGAACACCAGUGGCGAAGGCGGAUUGCUGGACAGUAACUGACGCUGAGGCGCGAAAGCGUGGGGAGCAAACAGGAUUAGAUACCCCUGUAGUC